GGACGAACGCUGGCGGCGUGCUUAACACAAGCAAGUCGAACGGAAAGGCCCUGCUUUUGUGGGGUGCUCGAGUGGCGAACGGGUGAGUAACACGUGAGUAACCUGCCCUUGACUUUGGGAUAACUUCAGGAAACUGGGGCUAAUACCGGAUAGGAGCUCCUGCUGCAUGGUGGGGGUUGGAAAGUUUCGGCGGUUGGGGAUGGACUCGCGGCUUAUCAGCUUGUUGGUGGGGUAGUGGCUUACCAAGGCUUUGACGGGUAGCCGGCCUGAGAGGGUGACCGGCCACAUUGGGACUGAGAUACGGCCCAGACUCCUACGGGAGGCAGCAGUGGGGAAUAUUGCACAAUGGGCGGAAGCCUGAUGCAGCAACGCCGCGUGCGGGAUGACGGCCUUCGGGUUGUAAACCGCUUUCGCCUGUGACGAAGCGUGAGUUACGGUAAUGGGUAAAGAAGCACCGGCUAACUACGUG
rnacentral:rRNA from 1 species